UACGUAGGGGGCAAGCGUUGUCCGGAAUCAUUGGGCGUAAAGCGCGUGUAGGCGGCUCGAUAAGUCUGCUGUGAAAGUUCAUGGCUCAACCCUGAAAUGCCGGUGGAAACUGUCGAGCUAGAGUCCGGAAGAGGUGAGUGGAAUUCCUGGUGUAGCGGUGAAAUGCGCAGAUAUCGGGAAGAACACCCGUGGCGAAGGCGGCACUCUGGGACGGUACUGACGCUGAGACGCGAAAGCGUGGGGAGCGAACAGG
rnacentral:rRNA from 1 species